rnacentral:rRNA from 1 species
GAUGAACGCUGGCGGCGUGCUUAACACAUGCAAGUCGAACGGAAAGGCCCAAGCUUGCUUGGGUACUCGAGUGGCGAACGGGUGAGUAACACGUGGGUGAUCUGCCCUGCACUUCGGGAUAAGCCUGGGAAACUGGGUCUAAUACCGGAUAGGACCACAUUUUGGAUGGUGUGGUGGAAAGUUUUUCGGUGUGGGAUGAGCUCGCGGGCUAUCAGCUUGUUGGUGGGGUAAUGGCCUACCAAGGCGUCGACGGGUAGCCGGCCGGAGAGGGUGUACGGCCACAGUGGGACUGAGAGACGGCCCAGGCGCCGACGGGAGGCAGCAGUGGGGAAUAUUGCACAAUGGGCGCAAGCCGGAUGCAGCGACGCCGCGUGGGGGAUGACGGCCUUCGGGUUGUAAACUCCUUUCGCUAGGGACGAAGCGUUAUGUGACGGUACCUGGAGAAGAAGCACCGGCUAACUACGUG